GGACCCGCACAAGCGGUGGAGCAUGUGGUUUAAUUCGACGAUACACGAAGAACCUUACCUGGACUUGACAUAGUAAGAACUUUCUAGAGAUAGAUUGGUGUCUGCUUGCAGAAACUUAUAUACAGGUGCUGCACGGCUGUCGUCAGCUCGUGUCGUGAGAUGUUGGGUUAAGUCCCGCAACGAGCGCAACCCUCGUCAUUAGUUGCUAACAGUUCGGCUGAGAACUCUAAUGAGACUGCCUACGUAAGUAGGAGGAAGGUGAGGACGACGUCAAGUCAUCAUGGCCCUUACGUCCAGGGCUACACACGUGCUACAAUGGGGUAUACAAAGAGCAGCAAUACGGUGACGUGGAGCAAAUCUCAAAAAUAUCUCCCAGUUCGGAUUGUAGUCUGCAACUCGACUACAUGAAGUUGGAAUCGCUAGUAAUCGUAGAUCAGCUAUGCUACGGUGAAUACGUUCCCGGGUCUU
rnacentral:rRNA from 1 species